UUUUAUUUAUUUAUUUAUUUUUUCUGUUUGCGUGUCAAAUUCCAGCAUUAUCAUCUUGUUUGUUCAUGGGUUGAUGGGUUUUUCUUAGUAUUUAAACAAUCAGCUGAUAAUUUCUAAGAGGAGAUGCUUGUUUGUGUCAACAAAUUACAUGUUCUGCUUCUGGGGAUUUUUCCGGAUCUUCCUGGGUUUUAAAUUUGUGGGCUUAAUUUACCUAUCUUUGGUUUCCUCACAAAAAGGUCUCUCUUGUCGAAUUUGUAUUUAUAUUUAUAUUUUGGGGUGCUCUGGUACUCGGUUAUUCUGUGUUAAUUAUCUCUUAUAUUCAUUUGGUAAGAACUAAAGUCUUCGUUUGUUUCUUUUCUCUAGUUGCAGUCUCUACACUGAUUUUCUUCUUGAAAUUAAAAUUUUCUCUUGUGGGUAUCUGGCAAUAUGCUACAACUUUUUCUUCUGUUUUGUGGGAAUUGUAUUUUCUUUUUAAAGAUGAAUUUUUUUUUUCAUUUUUUUCUCUAUUUCUUUUAAUGUGUCUUCUUUCAAAUUUUCAGCUGGAGAUUAUUUCCAGGUGAUCUGUGAUUUUCUGAUUGAUAGAUCUUGAAAUAUAUUACUUUUUCAACCGGGCAUAAGUAGGUUUGUUUUUUCGACAGACGCACAGUUUCUUUCCACUCCCUUAAUUAUUUGUGACAUUUUCUGCUGGUGGUUUAAGGUUCUCUUUGAUGGUGGUAUUUUGUAUUGGUAGUGUUUAUCAUUAAUUAGAUCUGAAGAUAGUUGCAAAAUUUUCAUCUCACUUCUUUCUGUGUGAAUUCAAGGUUGGAAUGGUGUUUGCCUUUCUAUAUUAUGCUUUCACCUUGGCUGUGACAGAUUACGAGACAAGGUGGUUACUGAGGAGGGGAAAGAGAGAGAAUGGAGGAAGCAAUGGCAACGCGGUAUUGGUGUCACAGGUGCUCUCAAAGGGUGAACCCCAUAAUGGAAGUUGAGAUCAAAUGCCCAUUUUGUCAAAGUGGAUUUAUAGAAGAAAUGAGUAGUAGUACAAGAGAAAAUCAGGAGCCUGAUUCUGAUUUCAGUUCCGAUCGUGCACUCUCCCUUUGGGCACCAAUCUUGCUUGGCAUGAUGGGAAAUCCUCGUCGACGUAGAAGAUAUAGAAGAAUGGGUUUUGAAGAAGAAGAGGACAGUGAUGAUGGUGAGGUACACCAUGGAGGAGAAAGCGAAUUAGACCGUGAAUUUGAAUCAUUCAUGAGGAGAAGGAGAAGAAGUUCAUCUGCAAUGUUACAAUUGCUUCAAGGAAUUCGAGCUGGAAUGGUAUCUGAAUCAGAGAAUUCUGAAGGAGAUAGGAAUAGAAAUGGAGAUAGAGAUAGAGGUAGAGAUAGGGAAAGAGAACGAGUCAUUUUGAUCAAUCCUUUGAGUCGUACUAUAAUUGUUCAGGGUUCAUAUGAUUCAAGCAAUGGUCAAAACCAGAAUCACACUCCCAUUGGGUCAUUAGGUGAUUAUUUCAUAGGACCUGGUUUAGAUUUGUUGUUACAGCAUUUGGCAGAGAAUGAUCCAAAUAGAUAUGGUACUCCACCAGCUCAAAAGGAGGCAGUUGAGGCAUUGCCUACUGUAACAAUGAAUGAAACUUUGCAGUGUUCAGUUUGUUUGGAUGAUUUUGAGAUUGGCACUGAGGCAAAGGAAAUGCCUUGUAAGCAUAAGUUUCAUAGCUCUUGUCUAUUACCAUGGCUGGAACUUCAUAGUUCUUGCCCAGUUUGCAGGUUUCAGUUGCCUGCUGAUGAGUCCAAGUCUGACUCUGAGAGGUCUCAGAUUAGCAUUAAUGAGAGGGAGAGCAACAAUACCAAUAAUAACAAUAGUAGCAGUAGAAGUACUAAUAAUAGUGAUAAUCAUCAAAAUCAUCAUCAUGGAAGUAGCAUUGAAGUGGCAGAAGGGGAGGGAAGAAAUGGAAAUGGAAAUGGAAAUGGAAAUG
rnacentral:misc_RNA from 1 species